AAUAAAUGAUUCUUUUUUCAUCCUGUAGAGGGCGCUUCACACUGAAGUGCAGAACUUCUGCGGAGGGAUACACGUGGUAUCUGUGAAGCUGAGUUUCAGCGGAGGGAUAUGUGAUUAGGUCGGUAUUAGAGCUGGAUGAUUCGACUGGAGAAAGAAAAAAAGAACGCACGCGAGUUGUCCCCGCUGUGUUUUUUAUGAAAGAAAAGAAAAUAUCUUCAUCUCUUUGUGAGAUAUUGCCUCCCAGACGACUGGAGUUUAUUUUUGUUUAACAUUGAUAAAAGGAUUUGGUUUUUUUCCGUUCGUGAGAUUCACCACCAUUGUGAAUCUGUUCGAGUUCCUGCACACCACAGAGGACGGACGUACUUUGAUGGCGAGCCAACCCACUGGAGUCUGAACACUUGCAUCUGGCAAGACCUCUGGAACCUCGUUUGCUACAAGAAAGAAACUGAACAUUUCAAACUCGUGGUAGGACACAACCUACUUCUUUUCUACAGGUGCUGAGUCACCAGGAACCUCCUUUAGAAGAAAAAAAAAA